rnacentral:sRNA from 1 species
GCUUGAAAUAAAAUAUCUCACAACUAA